rnacentral:rRNA from 1 species
CAUGCAAGUCGAACGGAGUGUUGCGCUGAAAUUGAGAUUAGCUUGCUAAAGGAUAUUUCUUGUGACACUUAGUGGCGGACGGGUGAGUAACGCGUGAGGAACCUGCCUUACAGAGGGGGACAACAGUUGGAAACGACUGCUAAUACCGCAUGAUGUGGGGGGGAGACAUCUCCCUUUCACCAAAGGAGCAAUCCGCUGUAAGAUGGCCUCGCGUCUGAUUAGAUAGUUGGUGGGGUAACGGCCUACCAAGUCGACGAUCAGUAGCCGGACUGAGAGGUUGAACGGCCACAUUGGGACUGAGACACGGCCCAGACUCCUACGGGAGGCAGCAGUGGGGGAUAUUGCACAAUGGAGGAAACUCUGAUGCAGCAACGCCGCGUGAGGGAAGAAGGUUUUCGGAUUGUAAACCUCUGUUUUUAGUGAAGAAACAAAUGACGGUAGCUAAAGAGGAAGCCACGGCUAACUACGUGCCAGCAGCCGCGGUAAUACGUAGGUGGCAAGCGUUGUCCGGAAUUACUGGGUGUAAAGGGUGCGCAGGCGGGAUUGCAAGUUGGAUGUGAAAUACCGGGGCUUAACCCCGGAGCUGCAUCCAAAACUGUAGUUCUUGAGUGGAGUAGAGGUAAGCGGAAUUCCGAGUGUAGCGGUGAAAUGCGUAGAUAUUCGGAGGAACACCAGUGGCGAAGGCGGCUUACUG